GCACAGGACCAAACGGGUCAGGACCAGACGGGUCAGGACCAGACAUCAGGACCAAACGGGUCAGGACCAGACGGGUCAGGACCAGACGGGUCAGAACCAGACGGGUCUGAGAAACAAACCUGGUUUGGUUUCUUCCCUACGCUCAAACUUUGACCCUAAACUGAUCGCUAAGGGCAACAAACUGCUGCAAACUGCUGCAAACUGCUGCAAACUGCCGCAAACUGCCGCAAACUGCUCCACCUCUAUUAAACAGAAAACUUAAUAAAAUAGAAACUUUGGGAUUCAAAGUGAAAAUCAAUCAGGACUAUUGAUACGUGACUAUAUGUAAUUUAUUGGAAAUUUAUAGAAAAAAAUUAAAAAUAUCUGAAAACUUCGAGAUAAAAGAAAGAAGAGAAAGAAGGAAAGAAAUGUCGACUUCCUUCAGUCUGACCUUUGACCUUUCAGUUUUAAUCAAUCAUUCAGUGAAUAACAUGAAACCUGCAGCCCCUUAUUGAUCGCUGAUCAAUAAAAACCUUCAUCAAUCACCCACCCUUCCUCUGAAAAACAUCCAAGA